CGAGGAGCCAGAGCCGCACGGGCUCGGGGGGGAAAGCGACUGCACUGGCCGCGAAGGCGGCGGCGGUGGCGGUGGCGGCUCCGGCAGCGCCCAGGGCUGUGCCCCGCCGGACCCAGAUGCCCCGGGAAGCCGACAGUCAGGCUGCCCGCCGGAGCUCACAGGCGGCGGCGGCGCGGCAGCGGCGGUGGCGGCGGCGGCGGUGGCGCUUGGCAGAGCUCAAGAUAACAAGGAGACGGGAGCUCAGCAGUGAGACAUCAGCUGGAAACUGACCCAAUUUCAGGUGACCUGCUGGCGGAUACAUUGCCUGAUGAAGAAGAAGACUGAAUCCCUUCUGAGGAGACCCGUAGGAGAAAAUGGAAAAGUAAACGGAAGACUAUAAUUCAUGUGUCAACGCCGUGAUGAUGCAUAUUGGGAUGGGGAUCCAAAAGAGCUCCCCAGAAGAUUCAGUGCUUGAGAUGAAAGAGCCGAAAGGUCAUUAGGAGGUCACAAACCAGGGGAGUGAGGACUGCUCCCCGGCUUGGUGACAUUUUGGCCUGUGGAAGAAAUGGAAGAACAUGCCCGAAAGACCAGAAGUGAGUUGGCAUUUGAGGACUAGAUGCUAGAAGAUUCUAAAUACAUUGAAAGACAAAACAGCAAACAAACAAAACAAGCAGAUCUUGAAAGCUCUACAGCAUGGUGACUUCAGGUUCUCAAGACUAGCAGGAGGCUGGGGAGAUGGUUCCAUCAGCAAAGUGCUUGGUGUAUCAAUGUGGAGACCUGGGGUAGGAUCCUUAGCAUCCUUGAAAAAGCCAUGUGCAGUGUCAUGCAUGGAUAACUUUAGCCCUGGGGAUUGGUGGAAGGGGAUCCCUGGAGCUUACCAGCUGGUCAGUUAAACUGAAUUAUCAAAUACCAAGUUCAGUGAGAUUCGCUUGUCUCAAAAAUGUGUAGAAAGCCACUGAGAAAGCCACUUGAUGUCAAUUUGGUCUCCACAGGCAUGGUCACAUGCAUGUAUGCACACACCCACACACAGACAGCCCCCACCCCAUACACAC